UUCUGUUGUUUCCGGAAGUGACGUCCGUGGAGAAAAUGGCUGUAGAAUGAGUAAAAGGGAACUAGAUGUCAAGAUCUUGUGACGAUUUCGCAAUGGUUUCAUUGGAGAUAAACUGAUGUAUCACAAGAGAAAUGGCUUACUCAUACAACAGAAGUCAUUCUAGAAAUUCCAGCACAGGUCUAGCAUCCAGUAAUUCUUGUCUCGAUGGAGUGCCUUUUAAAGUGGGACCGAAAUUCAAACCGCCACCAAGGGUUUUCCUACCACCUGAGUUGAGGGAUACAGCCAGUGCCUCACAAGUUGUGAAUGAUGAAUACCUGUUUGAGACGGAAGAUGCAGUGUUGCGGUGGGCACAAGCCAGAGAAGAGGCCAAGGUGGAACAAGAGAGGCUGAAGGCAGAAAAAGUGGCCAAUGCCAUCCAGGAGUUAUCUCAGCCACAGGAUUCAGAUGACAGUGAUAGCUCAGAUGGGGGGGAAAACGGAACAGCUGAGGCACCAUUCCAGGGAAGUGCAUUACUCCCCCAGCAAGCACCUGCACUUCAGCCCCAGCCAGCCCUUGCUACAAUGUCCAAUGAUAUCCUCACACCAGUUCCUAUCAUGCCAGCAAAGACUGUUGAACCAGCUCAACAAGAAACCACAAAAACUGUUGACCUUGAUCUCGCCCUGUUUGAGAGGGAGGAUGACCCAUUUGAGAAUGUUGAACGUCAGUUGAUAAAUGAAAUGGAGGAGCUCAAAACUCUGUUAGGGCCUCUAAAUAAUCCACCAUCAGACUUGUCGCCUAGCAACAAUACAACUAACUGUGAUACCAACAUGUCAAAUAACACGUGCAACAGUCCUGCUCUUAAUGGCGCCAUGUCAAAAACAGAUGUACAGAGCACAACAGCACAACAGCCUGGCAGUGAUGGGGAGAGGUUGGACAGACACAGUCCAGCACCAGUGUUCGUUCCUCAGAGUCAGCCCUUUGAGGAGGGCGACUAUGUUGAACUGAGGCUAGACUACAACAGUCAAGGGAGUAACAGUGUCUCCUUCAAGGCCAGUGACAAAGAGACAGUGGACAGUGUUGACAACAGCAGCCCCAGAGUUGAUCCUGCUGCUAGCAAUAAGAUAUACAGACAAGUGUUACCCCCUAUAGGUACCCCCAUGUCCAAAGUCCGACCAGUGUUGUCCCCAGGGCUUGAUAGUUUAGCGAAGACAUUAAGUGAAAACACUGUCCCUGAGCCCAGUGCGGCGGCUGUAGCGGCGAACCCGUCGGCUGUUAGCAAUGGCGUAUUGAACAAGUACAGUCGACAUUGUGAGACUUCUUCUGUCACAUGUGCACAACAGAGUGAGGCAAGUAUGAGAACGGCCCGAAGUAACCCUGACUUGUACUCCGAUCAUAGCAACGUGUCUACCGUGUAUCCUCUCUCUUACUCACCACCGUCAAGACCGUCGUCAGGACAGACCUGGAACCCCUACAAGCCCCUGCCCCCGACACCUGACGUCAUGUCCUCCUCGGUGCACUCCUCCUCCAGCAGCUCGGACCUCACCAGUCCCUCCGAGUUUGACCCGUACACAACCCUCUCCAGCGAGGCGCAGAAGUUUGCUGCUAACCUCAUCUCCAUGGGCUUCUCUCGACCACAGGUGGCUCGAGCUGUACAUAAACAGGGAACAGACGAAAAACAGGUGGUGGAGUACUUGUGUCAUGUUAACAAUCUGGUGGAGAAAGGAUUCAAUCCAAUCCGUGCUGAGUUGGCACUGAAUCUGUUCGACAACAAUUUCCCAAAGGCUGAGAAGUACCUCGAGAUGUUUGUGCAGUUCCAGGAAUUAGGAUUUGGUGAGGACAAGAUCCGAGAAGCCCUUGUCAAGGAGAACAUGGAUCGUGACAAAGCUUUGGACUUCCUCACUGCGUGACACACGCCACCAGAUAGAGCUGACACCGUCACUAUGAUCAACCUCCUUCGAUUGUUAGUUCUGUUACACGAUCUUUUAGCCAUGUGUAGUACAUGUACAACUACAAGACAAAACACUAUGUUAUCUUGAUCAGUCAGUUUAUUUUAUAUUUUUGUUCUACUGUUAAAUUUGUUUUGUCAACUGGAAACAUUUACUAGUGUGACAUUUCACUGUUAACGAAACCAAGUCGUGUAAAAUGUGUCAUGCCUGGCUUGAUGCACAGAAAUAGUGGAGGUAACUCCAGAACCAGUGUUGCGAGGUGGGGAUAUGCAUCACUGUAGUGAAAUGGUGUGUGAUAGCUUCACCAUUUGUCCAUUGAGAUUUGUUUUCAACUUAGUGAUCUCCUGUUUAACCUCAGUCUAACAGGAUGACAUGUUUGAUUGCAGUCAGUCAUAAACAGCAUUUCAUCCUAGUCCACGACAAAGUAACUUAUAGGUUUAAUGUAAUGCACCCUGGGAUCUGUCACUGAGGUAACUCAGGGGUUAGUGUUGCAGAUCAUCACAAGGAUAAUGUGUGUGAAGCCUUGUCUUAAAAUACCCUUACUUGUUCACAUUAGACACCAGCUCCAUCACUAGGCCGUGGUAUAACAUACCAGAUUUGUCACUAGGCCAGGUAUAACACACCAGUUUUGUCACUGGGCCAUGGUUUAACACACCAGCUCUGUCACUAGGCCGUGGUAUAACACACCAGUUUUGUAACUAGGCCAUGGUAUUACUCCAGUUUUGUCACUAGGCCAUGUUAUAACUCUAGUUUUGUCUCUAUGCCAUGGUACAACACUAGUUCUGUCACUAGGCCAUGGUUUAACACAUCAGCUCUGUCACUGGGCCAUGGUAUAACACUCCAGUUUUGUCACUAGGCCAUGGUAUAACACACCAGUUUUGUAACUAGGCCAUUGUAUUACUCAAGUUUUGUAACUAGGCCAUGUUUGAUUGCAGUCAGUCUAGUUGCAGUCAAACUAGUUUUGUCCCUAGGCCAUGGUAUAACGCUAGUUCUGUCGCUAGGCCAUGGUAUAACUCCAGUUUUGUCACUAGGCUAAGGUAUAACACACCAGCUGUGUCACUAGGCCAUGGUUUAACACAUCAGCUCUGUCACUAGGCCGUGGUAUAUCACACCAGCUCUGUCACUAGGCCAUGGUAUCACAUGCCGGUUCUGUCACUAGGCCAUGGUAUAUGACACCAGCUCUGUCACUAGGCCAUGGUAUAACACACCAGCUCUGUCACUUGGCCAUGGUAUAACAUGUUGGUUCUGUCACUAGGCCAUGGUAUAACAUGCCGGUUCUGUCACUAGGCCACGGUAAAUGACACCAGCUCUGUCACUAGGCCAUGGCAUAACACACCGGCUCUGUCACUAGUCCAUGGUAUAAAAAACACCAGCUCUGUCACUAGGCCAUGGUAUAACACACCAGCUCUGUCACUAGGCCAUGUUAUAAGACACCAGCUCUUUCACUAGGCCAUGGUAUAACACACCAGCUCUGUCACUAGGCCAUGUUAUAACUCCAGAUUUGUCACUAGGCCAAGGUAUAACACACCGGCUCUGUCACUAGGCCAUGGUAUAACACUAGUUCUGUCGCUAGGCCAUGGUAUAACUCCAGAUUUGUCACUAGGCCAAGGUAUAACACACCGGCUCUGUCACUAGUCCAUGGUAUAACACACCAGCUCUGUCACUAGGCCAUGGUAUAACACACCGGCUCUUUCACUAGGCCAUGGUAUAACAUGCUGGUUCUGUCACUAGGCCACGGUAUAACACACCAGCUCUGUCACUAGGCCAUAGUAUAACAUGCCGGUUCUGUCACUAGGCCAUGGUAUAACAUGCUGGUUCUGUCACUAGGCUAUGGUAUAUGACACCAGCUCUGUCACUAGUCCAUGGUAUAACACACCUGCUCUGUCACUAGUCCAUGGUAUAACGCACCAGCUCUGUCACUAGGCCAUGGCAUUAUAUGCUGGUUCUGUCACUAGUAUAUGGUAUAAUACACCAGCUCUGUCACUAUUAUAUGGUAUAAUACACCAGCUCUGUCACUAGGCAAUGGUAUAACAUGCCGGUUCUGACACUAGGCCAUGGUAUAACAUGCUGGUUCUGUCACUUGGCCAUGGUAUAACCAGCAGCUCUGUCACUAGGCCAUGGUAUAACAUGCUGGUUCUGUCACUAGUCCAUGGCAUAAUACACCAGCUCUGUCACUAGGCCAUGGUAUAACAUGCCGGUUCUGUCACUAGUCCAUGGUAUAAUACACCAGCUCUGUCACUAGGCCAUGGUAUAAUACACCAGCUCUGUCACCAGGCCAUGGUAUAAUAUGCCGGUUCUGUCACUAGGCCAUGGUAUAACAUGCUGGUUCUGUCACUGUGCCAUGGUAUAACACACCAGUUCUGUCAUUAGGCCAUGGUAUAACGUGCCGGUUCUGUCACUAGGCCAUGGUAUAGCAUACCAGCUUUGUCACUAGACCAUGGUAUAUGACACCAGCUCUGGCACUAGGCCAUGGUAUGACACACCAGCUGUGUCACUAGGCAAUGGUAUAACAUGUCGGUUCUGUCACUAGGCCAUGGCAUUACAUGUCUGUUCUGUCACUAGGUUAGGUAUGUAUGAGGGUGAAUAUUGAUGAAGUCAAAUGAUUCAGAAUAGAUGAGUUAGAGUAGAUUUAUGGUAGAUUGAUCAUGAAAUAGCCAAGUGAUUUACUUUUGUUUUUAGGAAGAAUACUUUGAAAAACUGUGAUAUUUGUGAGCAAACACACCAAUGAUGGAAACACAUGUUUCUUAAGAAAGCUACUGUGUGUGGCUACAAGUUUGUAUAUCUGCAGUAGAAACUUCCCCAUAUUGAUAUAUGCGCAUUCUCAUGUGUGUGGGUAGGAGUUUUGAAUGAACACACAUCUGUCCGGGACAUGACCUAGUUGCUGCUACAAUGAGAGCAGCGGGAUGCAGUCAUGUUACUCUUCGUCAUGAUGUUUACCAGGGUAUAUAUAGAUGCUGUGGCACAAGAAGUGCCUGAUUAUGUCUAAGUUCUGAAAUAACUAAGGCAGACAAGUGAUAUUUUCAACAUCAUUUUUGACAACAGCAUGUUUCUUAUUUAGUAUUGGGCAUGAUCUUGUGAAUCGAAACAGCCCAUGCACCCAGUCUUACGAAUUCCUCAACGAGCAGGUGAUUAAGGGCAAUGUUGAUAUAUGGUAACUGAAGUGAAGAAACAUUAAGUAUCAAUUCAGAAUGAAGGGUUCAUGUAUAGAGCUCAACAUUUGCUAAGGACCAAAAUAGUCAUCUUCAGUUUAAGGUGUGGUCCUUAGCAAAUGUUGAAUUGAAUAUUAUUUAAUGGUUAGAACAUUGUCAUACUGUGUUGCCUGCUUGUAGGGCCCAUCAACAGUAUUGCUAUAUUGCAGGGCUUGCCAGGAGAACUGUGUUGUAGCUAAUGUUUUGUCUUUUAUUAUUUGCUCAUUGUCAGAUGAGGAUAAAUUGAAGCCAAUUCUUUUUUUCAAUUGUGCAAUAUUAACAGAGAUCUUAUGUAAUUUCUGCUGUCUUUCUAUAUUCAUGAUGUUUGUAACACGUUUUUGUACUUUUGUAAAGAAAAACAAUUUUAAUUUAAUUAUUGUAUAUCAUGUCAGUUUACUUGAUCACAACUUGUAUGUAUUACUAUUAAGGCCAGCCUGUUCUUUUCUUAUUUCGCAAUCGGCCUGUUGCAAAUUUUGCAGAAGUACAAAAAAGGUCACUGGAUUAAAAAAGGUUUCAUUAAAUGUAUGUGGGUUUUUUCAUAUCCCCACUUGUUAUGCUUGUUGAAAUGUUUUAGAUCCUUGUCUUUGAAAAUGUAUAUAUGAUUUACAGGAGCUUUAGGUGGGACAUGCAGAAUAAAAAGUCCAUACAAACAGUGAUGAAAGUCUGGCCUACAAACAACUUGUGAUCCUAUUUUCCAUGCAUGAUAUUAUUAGCGUGAUAAGCUGGGAUGUAACCUCAGUGUGUGUUCAAGGAUGUAUCUACACCUGCUUACAAGCCAAUAUUUGUCCCCAAGUCUGCAGCAGAUGCCAGUACAAAAAUUCUCAAAUUAGAAAUUAUAUUUUCCUAAUGCAUGUAGUAAGAUUAUGAUGAAAUGCUAUGGCUUUGUUGUGGCAACUUGUAUUACACAGAUUACAAGACAAUAAAGAGGCAAAGGUUACAAUGA
rnacentral:misc_RNA from 1 species